rnacentral:rRNA from 1 species
GACGAACGCUGGCGGCGUGCUUAACACAUGCAAGUCGAACGGAAAGGCCCCUUUGGGGGUACUCGAGUGGUGACCGGGUGAGUAACACGUGAGUAACCUGCCCUUGACUUCGGGAUAACUUCAGGAAACUGGGGCUAAUACCGGAUAGGAAUCCUUGCUGCAUGGUGGGGGUUGGAAAGCUUCGGCGGUUUUGGAUGGACUCGCGGCGUAUCAGCUUGUUGGUGGGGUAGUGGCUUACCAAGGCUUUGACGCGUAGCCGGCCAGAGAGGGGGACCGGCCACAAUGGGUCUUGAACACGGCCCAGACUCCUACAGAAGGGAGAAGAGGGGAAAAAUGAACAAUGAACAGGAGCCCAGUGCAGCAAAGCGGCGGGCCGGAUGGCAGUGUUCGAAGUGGAAGACGCUUACAGCAGGGGCGAUGCAUGUAGUGACGGUACCUGAAGAAAAAGCACCGGCUAACUACGUG